rnacentral:rRNA from 1 species
GACGAACGCUGGCGGCGUGCCUAAUACAUGCAAGUUGAACGCUUCUUUCUUAUCGAACUUCGGUUCACCAAGAAAGAAGAGUAGCGAACGGGUGAGUAACACGUGGGUAACCUGCCCAUCAGCGGGGGAUAACACUUGGAAACAGGUGCUAAUACCGCAUAAUACUUUUUCUCUCAUGAGUGAAAGUUGAAAGGCGCCUUUGCGUCACUGAUGGAUGGACCCGCGGUGCAUUAGCUAGUUGGUAGGGUAACGGCCUACCAAGGCGACGAUGCGUAGCCGACCUGAGAGGGUGAUCGGCCACACUGGGACUGAGACACGGCCCAGACUCCUACGGGAGGCAGCAGUAGGGAAUCUUCGGCAAUGGACGAAAGUCUGACCGAGCAACGCCGCGUGAGUGAAGAAGGUUUUCGGAUCGUAAAACUCUGUUGUUAGAGAAGAACAAGGAUGAGAAGAGAAUGUUCAUCCCUUGACGGUAUCUAACCAGAAAGCCACGGCUAACUACGUGCCAGCAGCCGCGGUAAUAC